AUCUAAGUCUGAUGUACAUACAUAUGUUCUCCUUUUCUUCUUUCUUGGUAUAUGGAUUUUGCUCUAGAGAUCAACUCCAUUGGAGUCCAAACCCAAAUCAACCAAAGCUCAAACCAGGAACUAAUCCCCUUCCAUGGGGAUCGUCUUGUGAUAAUAUUGUUGGGGAACGUAGUAAUUUCAAAAAAAUUCCUACGCACACACAGGAUCAUGGUGAUGCAUAGCAACGAGAGGGGAGAGUGUGUCCACGUACCCUCGUAGACCGAAAGCGGAAGCAUUAGCACAACGCGGUUGAUGUAGUCAUACGUCUUCACGAUCUGACCGAUUCAAGUACCGAACGCACGGCACCUUCGAGUUCAGCACACGUUCAGCUCGAUGACGUCCCACGAACUCCGAUCCAGCAGAGCUUCGAGGGAGAGUUCCGUCAGCACGAUGGCGUGAUGACGGUGAUGAUGAUGCUACCGACGCAGGGCUUCGCCUAAGCACCGCUACGAUAUGAUCGAGGUGGAUUAUGGUGGAGGGGGGCACCGCACACGGCUAAGAGAUCAAGAGAUCAAUUGUUGUGUCUUUGGGGUGCCUCCUGCCCCCGUAUAUAAAGGAGCAAGGGGGAGGUGCGGCCGGCCAGGAGGGGCGCGCCAGGAGGAGUCCUACUCCCACCAGGAGUAGGACGACUUCCUCCCUUCCUUGUUGGAUUAGGAGAAGGGGGGAAAUAGGAGGGAGAGAGGAAGGAAAGGGGGGCGCCGCCCCCCUCUCCUUGUCCUAUUCGGACUAGGGGGGAGGGGCGCGCGGCCCUGCCCUGGCCGCCUCUCCUCUUCUCCACUAAGGCCCACUAUGGCCCAUCAAGCCCCCGGGGGGUUCCGAUAACCCCUCGGUACUCCGGUAAAAUCCCGAUUUCACCCGGAACACUUCCGAUAUCCAAAUAUAGGCUUCCAAUAUAUCAAUCUUCAUGCCUCGACCAUUUCGAGACUCCUCGUCAUGUCCGUGAUCACAUCCGGGACUCCGAACAACCUUCGGUACAUCAAAACUCAUAAACUCAUAAUAUAUCUGUCAUUGAAACUUUAAGCGUGCGGACCCUACGGGUUCGAGAACUAUGUAGACAUGACCGAGACACGUCUCCGGUCAAUAACCAAUAGCGGAACCUGGAUGCUCAUAUUGGCUCCCACAUAUUCUACGAAGAUCUUUAUCGGUCAGACCGCAUAACAACAUACGUUGUUCCCUUUGUCAUCGAUAUGUUACUUGCCCGAGAUUCGAUCGUCGGUAUCUUAAUGCCUAGUUCAAUCUCAUUACCGGCAAGUCUCUUUACACGUUCCGUAAUACAUCAUCCCGCAACUAACUCAUUAGUUACAAUGCUUGCAAGGCUUAUAGUGAUGUGCAUUACUGAGUGGGCCCAGAGAUACCUCUCUGACAAUCGGGGUGACAAAUCCUAAUCUCGAAAUACGCCAACCCAACAAGUACCUUCGGAGACACCUGUAGAGCACCUUUACAAUCACCCAGUUACGUUGUGACGUUUGGUAGCACACAAAGUGUUCCUCCGAUAAACGGGAGUUGCAUAAUCGCAUAGUCAUAGGAACAUGUAUAAGUCAUGAAGAAAGCAAUAGCAACAUACUAAACGAUCAAGUGCUAAGCUAACGGAAUGGGUCAAGUCAAUUACAUCAUUCUCCUAAUGAUGUGAUCCCGUUAAUCAAAUGACAACUCAUGUCCAUGGCUAGGAAACUCAACCAUCUUCGAUUAACGAGCUAGUCAAGCAGAGGCAUACUAGUGACACUAUGUUUGUCUAUGUAUUCACACAUGUACUAAGUUUCCGGUUAAUACAAUUCUAGCAUGAAUAAUAAACAUUUAUCAUGAUAUAAGGAAAUAAAUAAUAACUUUAUUAUUGCCUCUAGGGCAUAUUUCCUUCAGUCUCCCACUUGCACUAGAGUCAAUAAUCUAGUUUACAUCACCAUGUGAUUUAACACCAAUAGUUCACAUCACCAUGUGAUUAACACCCAUAGUUCACAUCGUCAUGUGACCAACACCCAAAGGGUUUACUAGAGUGUGAUCAUGUUUUGCUUGUGAGAUAAGUUUAGUCAACGGGUCUGCCACAUUCAGAUCCGUAUGCAUUUUGCAAAUUUCUAUGUCAACAAUGCUCUGCACGGAGCUACUCUAGCUAAUUGCUCCUACUUUCAAUAUGUAUCCAGAUUGAGACUUAGAGUCAUCUGGAUCAGUGUCAAAACUUGCAUCGACGUAACCCUUUACGACGAACCUUUUUGUCACCUCCAUAAUCGAGAAACAUAUCCUUAUUCCACUAAGGAUAAUUUUGACCGAUGUCCAGUGUGUUGGAAAUAUGCCCUAGAGGCAAUAAUAAAUGGUCAUUAUUAUAUUUCUUUGUUCAUGAUAAUCGUCUAUUGUUCAUGCUAUAAUUGUAUUUUCCGGAAAUCGUAAUACAUGUGUGAAUGCAUAGACCACAACGUGUCCCUAGUAAGCCUAUAGUUGACUAGCUCGUUGAGCAACAGAUAGUCAUGGUUUCCUGACUAUGGACAUUGGAUGUCAUUGAUAAGGGGAUCACAUCAUUAGGAGAAUGAUGUGAUGGACAAGACCCAAUCCUAAGCAUAGCAUAAAAGAUCGUGUAGUUUCGUUUGCUAGAGCUUUUCCAAUGUCAAGUAUCUUUUCCUUAGACCAUGAGAUCGUGCAACUCCCGGAUACCGUAGGAGUGCUUUGGGUGUGCCAAACGUCACAACGUAACUGGGUGACUAUAAAGGUGCACUACGGGUAUCUCCGAAAGUGUCUGUUGGGUUGGCACAGAUCGAGACUGGGAUUUGUCACUCCGUGUGACGGAGAGGUAUCUCUGGGCCCACUCGGUAAUGCAUCAUCAUAAUGAGCUCAAUGUGACUAAGGCGUUAGUCACGGGAUCAUGCAUUGCGGUACGAGUAAAGAGACUUGCCGGUAACGAGAUUGAACAAGGUAUUGGGAUACCGGCGAUCAAAUCUCGGGAAAGUAACAUACCGAUUGACAAAGGGAAUUGCAUACGGGAUUGAUUGAAUCCUCGACAUCGUGGUUCAUCCGAUGAGAUCAUCGUGGAACAUGUGGGAGCCAACAUGGGUAUCCAGAUCCCGCUGUUGGUUAUUGAUCGGAGAGGCGUCUCGGUCAUGUCUACAUGUCUCCCGAACCCGUAGGGUCUACACACUUAAGGUUCGGUGACGCUAGGGUUGUAGAGAUAUUAGUAUGCGGAAACCCGAAAGUUGUUCGGAGUCCCGGAUGAGAUCUCGGACAUAAACAAGGAGUUCCGGAAUGGUCCGGAGGUGAAGAAUUAUAUAUAGGAAGUCAAGUUUUGGCCACCGGGAAAGUUUCGGGGGUUACCGGUAUUGUACCGGGACCACCGGAAGGGCCCGGGGGUCCAUCGGGUGGGGCCACCUAUCCCGGAGGGCCCCGUGGGCUGAAGUGGGAAGGGAACCAGCCCCUAGUGGGCUGGGCGCCCCCCAUGGGCCUCCCCCCUGCGCCUAGGGUUGGAAACCCUAGGGUGGGGGGGGGCGCCCCACUUGCCUUGGGGAGCAAGGCACCCCCCUGGCCGCCGCCCACCAUCCAGAUGGGAUCCCUGGCCGGCGCCCCCCCUCCCAGGGGGCCUAUAUAAAGGGGGGAGGGAGGGCAGCAAGCACACAGCCUUGGGCGCCUCCCUCCUCCCCUGCUACACCUCUCCCUCUCGUAGAAGCUCGGCGAAGCCCUGCCGGCAUCCCGCUACAUCCACCACCAAGCCGUCGUGCUGCUGGAUCUCCAUCAACCUCUCCUUCCCCCUUGCUGUAUCAAGAAGGAGGAGACGUCGCUACACCGUAUGUGUGUUGAACGCGGAGGUGCCGUCCGUUCGGCACUCGGUCAUCGGUGAUUUGAAUCACGGCGAGUACGACUCCGUCAUCCACGUUCAUUGGAACGCUUCCGCUCACGAUCUACAAGGGUAUGUAGAUGCACUCCUUUCCCCUCGUUGCUAGUAUACUUCAUAGAUGCAUCUUGGUGAGCGUAGGAAAAUUUUAAAAUUAUGCUACGAUUCCCAACAGUGGCAUCAUGAGCCAGGCCUAUGCGUAGUUACUAUGCACGAGUAGAACACAAAGCAGUUGUGGGCGUUGAUGUUGCCAAUUCUUCUUGCCGCUACUAGUCGGAUCUUGUUUCGGCGGUAUUGUAGGAUGAAGCGGCCCGGACCGACCUUACACGUACGCUUACGUGAGACAGGUUCCACCGACUGACAUGCACUAGUUGCAUAAGGUGGCUAGCGGGUGUCUGUCUCUCCUAGUUUAGUCGGAACGGAUUCGAUGAAAAGGGUCCUUAUGAAGGGUAAAUAGAAAUUGGCAAAUCACGUUGUGGUCAUACGUAGGUAAGAAACGUUCUUGCUAGAAACCUACAAACCACGUAAAAACUUGCAACAACAAUUAGAGGACGUCUAACUUGUUUUUGCAGCAUUUGCUAUGUGAUGUGAUAUGGCCAGAAGAUGUGAUGAAUGAUAUAUGUGAUGUAUGAGAUUGAUCAUAUUCUUGUAAUAGGAAUCACGACUUGCAUGUCGAUGAGUAUGACAACCGGCAGGAGCCAUGGGAGUUGUCUUUAUUAUUUUGUAUGACCUGCGUGUCAUUGAAUAACGCCAUGUAAAUUACUUUACUUUGUUGCUAAACGCGUUAGCCAUAGAAGUAGAAGUAAUCGUUGGCGUGACGACUUCAUGAAGACACAAUGAUGGAGAUCAUGAUGAUGGAGAUCAUGGUGUCAUGCCGGUGACGAAGAUGAUCAUGGUGCCCCGAAGAUGGAGAUCAAAGGAGCAUAAUGAUAUUGGCCAUAUCAUGUCACUAUUUGAUUGCAUGUGAUGUUUAUCAUGUUUUUGCAUCUUAUUUGCUUAGAACGACGGUAGUAAGUAAGAUGAUCCCUUAUGAUAAUUUCAAUAAAAGUGUUCCCCCUAACUGUGCACCGUUGCGAAGGUUCGUUGUUUCGAAGCACCACGUGAUGAUCGGGUGUGAUAGAUUCUAACGUUCGAAUACAACGGGUGUUGACGAGCCUAGCAUGUACAGACAUGGCCUCGGAACACACGCAAUACACUUAGGUUGACUUGACGAGCCUAGCAUGUACAGACAUGGCCUCGAAACACGGAGGACCGAAAGGUCAAGCAUGAGUCGUAUAGAAGAUACGAUCAACAUGGAGAUGUUCACCGAUCUUGACUAGUCCGUCUCACGUGAUGAUCGGACACGGCCUAGUUAACUCGGAUCAUGUUUCACUUAGAUGACUAGAGGGAUGUCUAUGUGAGUGGGAGUUCAUUGAGUAAUUUGAUUAGAUGAACUUAAUUAUCAUGAACUUAGUCUAAAAUCUUUACACUAUGCCUUGUAGAUCAAAUGGCCCACGUUGUCCUCAAUUUCAACGCGUUCCUAGAGAAAACCAAGCUGAAAGAUUAUGGCAGCAACUAUACGGACUGGGUCCGGAACCUGAGGAUCAUCCUCAUAGCAGCCAAGAAAGAUUAUGUCUUAGAAGCACCGCUAGGUGAAGCACCAAUCCCAGAGAACCAAGACGUUAUGAACGCUUGGCAGCAGCGUGCUGAUGAUUACUCCCUCGUUCAGUGCGGCAUGCUUUACAGCUUAGAACCGGGUCUCCAAAAGCGUUUUGAGAAACAUGGAGCAUAUGAGAUGUUCGAGGAGCUGAAAUUGGUUUUCCAAGCUCAUGCCCGGGUCGAGAGAUAUGAAGUCUCCGACAAGUUCUUCAGCUGUAAAAUGGAGGAAAAUAGUUCUGUAAGUGAGCACAUACUCAGAAUGUCUGGGUUGCACAACCGCUUGACUCAGCUGGGAGUUAAUCUCCCGGAUGAUGCGGUCAUUGACAGAAUCCUUCAGUCGCUUCCACCAAGCUACAAGAGCUUUGUCAUAAACUUCAAUAUGCAGGGGAUGGAAAAGACCAUUCCUGAGAUAUAUUCAAUGCUGAAAUCAGCGGAGGUGGAGAUCAGAAAAGAACAUCAAGUGUUGAUGGUGAAUAAACCACUAAGUUCAAGAAGGGCAAGGGUAAGAAGAACUUCAAGAAGGAUGGCAAGGGAGUUGCCGCGCCCGGUAAACCAGUUACUGGGAAGAAGUCAAAGAAUGGACCCAAGCCUGAAACUGAGUGCUUUUAUUGCAAGGGAAGUGGUCACUGGAAGUGGAACUGCCCCAAAUACUUAGCGGAAAAGAAAGCCGGCAACACCAAAGGUAUAUGUGAUAUACAUGUAAUUGAUGUGUACCUUACCAGUACUCGUAGUAGCUCCUGGGUAUUUGAUAUUGGUGCGGUUGCUCAUAUUUGUAACUCAAAACAGGAACUACGGAAUAAACGGAGACUGGCGAAGGACGAGGUGACGAUGCGCGUCGGGAAUGGUUCCAAGGUCGAUGUGAUCGCCGUCGGCACGCUACCUCUGCAUCUACCCACGGGAUUAGUUUUAAACCUCAAUAAUUGUUAUUUAGUGCCAGCUUUGAGCAUGAACAUUGUAUCUGGAUCUCGUUUAAUUUGAGAUGGCUACUCAUUUAAAUCCGAGAAUAAUGGUUGUUCUAUUUAUUUGAGAGAUAUGUUUUAUGGUCAUGCCCCGCUGGUCAAUGGUUUAUUCUUGAUGAAUCUCGAACGUGAUGUUACACAUAUUCAUAGUGUGAAUACCAAAAGAUGUAAAGUUGAUAACGAUAGUCCCACAUACUUGUGGCACUGCCGCCUUGGUCACAUUGGUGUCAAGCGCAUGAAGAAGCUCCAUGCAGAUGGACUUUUGGAGUCUCUUGAUUACGAAUCAUUUGACACGUGCGAACCAUGCCUCAUGGGUAAGAUGACCAAGACGCCGUUCUCCGGAACAAUGGAGCGAGCAACCAACUUAUUGGAAAUCAUACAUACCGAUGUGUGCGGUCCAAUGAGUGUUGAGGCUCGUGGAGGAUAUCGUUAUGUUCUCACUCUCACUGAUGAUUUAAGUAGAUAUGGGUAUGUCUACCUAAUGAAACACAAGUCUGAAACCUUUGAAAAGUUCAAGGAAUUUCAGAGUGAGGUUGAGAAUCAACGUGACAGAAAAAUAAAGUUCUUACGAUCAGAUCGUGGUGGAGAAUAUUUAAGUCACGAAUUUGGUGCGCACUUAAGGAAAUGUGGAAUCGUUUCACAACUCACGCCGCCUGGAACACCUCAGCGAAACGGUGUGUCCGAACGUCGUAAUCGCACUCUAUUGGAUAUGGUGCGAUCUAUGAUGUCUCUUACCGAUUUACCGCUCUCAUUUUGGGGCUAUGCUUUAGAGACUGCCGCAUUCACUUUAAAUAGGGCUCCGUCGAAAUCCGUUGAGACGACACCGUAUGAAUUAUGGUUUGGGAAGAAACCUAAGCUGUCGUUUCUAAAAGUUUGGGGAUGCGAUGCUUAUGUCAAGAAACUUCAACCUGAAAAGCUCGAACCCAAGUCGGAGAAAUGCGUCUUCAUAGGAUACCCUAAGGAAACUAUUGGGUAUACCUUCUACCUCAGAUCCGAAGGCAAGAUCUUCGUUGCCAAGAAUGGGUCCUUUCUGUAGAAGGAGUUUCUCUCGAAAGAAUUGAGUGGGAGGAAAGUGGAACUUGAUGAGGUGAUAGUCACCCCUUCCGUGCCGGAAAGUAGCGCAGCGCGGGAAAAUUUUCCUGUGGUGCCUGCACUGACUGGGGAGGAAGUUAAUGAUGAUGAUCAUGAAGCUUCGGAUCAAGUUACUACUGAACUUCGUAGGUCCACAAGGACACGUUCCGCACCAGAGUGGUACGGCAACCCUGUCCUGGAAAUCAUGUUGUUAGACAACGGUGAACCUUCGAACUAUGAAGAAGCGAUGGCGGGCCCGGAUUCCGACAAAUGGCUAGAAGCCAUGAAAUCCGAGAUAGGAUCCAUGUAUGAAAACGAAGUAUGGACUUUGACUGACUUGCCCGAUGAUCGGCGAGCCAUAGAAAACAAAUGGAUCUUUAAGAAGAAGACAGACGCGGAUGGUAAUGUGACCAUCUAUAAGGCUCGACUUGUCGCUAAGGGUUAUCGACAAGUUCAAGGGGUUUACUACGAUGAGAUUUUCUCACCCGUAGCGAAGCUGAAGUCCGUCCGAAUCAUGUUAGCAAUUGCCGCAUACUAUGAUUAUGAGAUAUGGCAGAUGGACGUCAAAACGGCAUUCCUUAAUGGCUUCCUUAAGGAAGAGUUGUAUAUGAUGCAGCCGGAAGGUUUUGUCGAUCCUAAGAAUGCUAACAAAAUAUGCAAGCUCCAGCGCUCAAUCUAUGGGCUGGUGCAAGCAUCUCGGAGUUGGAACAUUCGCUUUGAUGAGAUGAUCAAAGCGUUUGGGUUUACACAGACUUAUGGAGAAGCCUGUGUUUACAAGAAAGUGAGUGGGAGCUCUGUAGAAUUUCUCAUAUUAUAUGUGGAUGACAUACUAUUGAUGGGAAAUUAUAUAGAAUUCUUGGAAAGUAUAAAGGCCUAUUUGAAUAAGUGUUUUUCAAUGAAGGACCUUGGAGAAGCUGCUUAUAUAUUAGGCAUCAAGAUCUAUAGAGAUAGAUCAAGACGCCUCAUUGGUCUUUCACACAGUACAUACCUUGACAAGAUAUUGAAGAAGUUCAAUAUGGAUCAGUCCAAGAAGGGGUUCUUUCCUGUAUUGCAAGGUGUGCAAUUGAGCACGGCUCAAUGCCCGACCACGGCAGAAGAUAGAGAAAAGAUGAGUGUCAUCCCCUAUGCCUCGGCCAUAGGGUCUAUUAUGUAUGCCAUGCUGUGUACCAGACCUGAUGUAAACCUUGCCGUAAGUUUGGUAGGAAGGUACCAAAGUAAUCCCGGCAUGGAACACUGGACAGCGGUCAAGAAUAUCCUGAAGUACCUGAAGAGGACUAAGGAUAUGUUUCUCGUUUAUGGAGGUGACAAAGAGCUCGUCGCAAAGGGUUACGUCGACGCUAGCUUCGACACAGAUCUGGAUGACUCGAAGUCACAAACCGGAUACGUGUAUAUUUUGAAUGGAGGAGCAGUAAGCUGGUGCAGUUGCAAGCAAAGCGUCGUGGCGGGAUCUACAUGUGAAGCGGAGUACAUGGCAGCCUCGGAGGCAGCAGGAAGCAGUCUGGAUGAAGGAGUUCAUUACCGACCUAGGGGUGAUUCCCAAUGCGUCGGGCCCGAUGACUCUCUUCUGUGACAACACUGGAGCUAUUGCCCUUGCGAAGGAGCCCAGGUUUCACAGGAAGACCAGGCAUAUCAAGCGACGCUUCAACUCCAUUCGUGAAAGUGUUCAAAAUGGAGACAUAGAUAUUUGUAAAUUACAUACGGACCUGAAUGUAGCAGAUCCGUUGACUAAACCUCUCCCUAGAGCAAAACAUGAUCAACACUAGGACGCAAUGGGUGUUCGAUUCAUCACAAUGUAACUAGAUUAUUGACUCUAGUGCAAGUGGGAGACUGUUGGAAAUAUGCCCUGGAAAUUAUUAUUGUCUAUUGUUCAUGCUAUAAUUGUAUUGUUCAUGCUAUAAUUGUAUUGACUCUAGAGCAAAACAUGGUUAUUAUUAUAUUUCUUUGUUCAUGAUAAUCGUAUAUUGUUCAUGCUAUAAUUGUAUUGUCCGGAAAUCGUAAUACAUGUGUGAAUGCAUAGACCACAACGUGUCCCUAGUAAGCCUCUAGUUGGCUAGUUCGUUGAUCAACAGAUAGUCAUGGUUUCCUGACUAUGGACAUUGGAUGUCAUUGAUAAUGGGAUCACAUCAUUAGGAGAAUGAUGUGAUGGACAAGACCCAAUCCUAAGCAUAGCAUAAAAGAUCGUGUAGUUUCGUUUGCUAGAGCUUUUCCAAUGUCAAGUAUCUUUUCCUUAGACCAUGAGAUCGUGCAACUCCCGGAUACCGUAGGAGUGCUUUGGGUGUGCCAAAUGUCACAACGUAACUGGGUGACUAUAAAGGUGCACUACGGGUAUCUCCGAAAGUGUCUGUUGGGUUGGCACAGAUCGAGACUGGGAUUUGUCACUCCGUGUGACGGAGAGGUAUCUUUGGGCCCACUCGGUAAUGCAUCAUCAUAAUGAGCUCAAUGUGACUAAGGCGUUAGUCACGGGAUCAUGCAUUGUGGUACGAGUAAAGAGACUUGCCGGUAACGAGAUUGAACAAGGUAUUGGGAUACCGACGAUCAAAUCUCGGGCAAGUAACAUACCGAUUGACAAAGGAAAUUGCAUACGGGAUUGAUUGAAUCCUCGACAUCGUGGUUCAUCCGAUGAGAUCAUCGUGGAACAUGUGGGAGCCAACAUGGGUAUCCAGAUCCCGCUGUUGGUUAUUGACCGGAGAGGCGUCUCGGUCAUGUCUACAUGUCUCCCGAACCCGUAGGGUCUACACACUUAAGGUUCGGUGACGCUAGGGUUGUAGAGAUAUGAGUAUGCGGAAACCCGAAAGUUGUUCGGAGUCCCGGAUGAGAUCCCGAACGUCACGAGGAGUUCCGGAAUGGUCCGGAGGUGAAGAAUUAUAUAUAGGAAGUCAUGUUUCGGCCACCGGGAAAGUGUCGGGGGUUAUCGGUAUUGUACCGGGACCACCGGAAGGGUCCCGGGGGUCCACCGGGUGGGGCCACCUAUCCCGGAGGGCCCCGUGGGCUGAAGUGGGAAGGGAACCAGCCCCUAGUGGUCUGGGCGCCCCCCAUGGGCCUCCCCCCUGCGCCUAGGGUUGGAAACCCUAGGGUGGGGGGCAAGGCACCCCCCUGGCCGCCGCCCCCCAUGCAGAUGGGAUCCCUGGCCGGCGCCCCCCUCCCAGGGGGCCUAUAUAAAGGGGGGGAGGGCAGCAAACACACAGCCUUGGGCGCCUCCCUCCUCCCCUGCUACACCUCUCCCUCUCGUAGAAGCUCGGCGAAGCCCUGCCGGCAUCCCGCUACAUCCACCACCACGCCAUCGUGCUGCUGGAUCUCCAUCAACCUCUCCUUCCCCCUUGCUGGAUCAAGAAGGAGGAGACGUCGCUGCACCGUACGUGUGUUGAACGCGGAGGUUCCGUCCGUUCGGCACUCGGUCAUCGGUGAUUUGAAUCACGGCGAGUACGACUCCGUCAUCCACGUUCAUUGGAACGCUUCCGCUCGCGAUCUACAAGGGUAUGUAGAUGCACUCCUUUCCCCUCGUUGCUAGUAUACUUCAUAGAUGCAUCUUGGUGAGCGUAGGAAAAUUUUAAAAUUAUGCUACGAUUCCCAACACAGUGAUCUACUCCUAGAUCACUAUUGUACUCCCUUGCCAAAAUCAAUGUAGGGUAUACAAUAGAUCUGGUACACAGCAUGGCAUACUUUAUAGAACCUAUGGCUGAGGCAUAGGGAAUGACUUUCAUUCUCUUUCUAUCUUCUGCCGUGGUCGGGCUUUAAGUCUUACUCAAUUUCACACCUUGUAACACAGGCAAGAACUCUUUCUUUGACUUUUCCAUUUUGAACUACUUCAAAAUCUUGUCAAGGUAUGUACUCAUUGAAGAAACUUAUCAAGCGUCUUGAUCUAUCUCUAUAGAUCUUGAUGCUCAAUAUGUAAGCAGCUUCACCGAGGUCUUUCUUUGAAAAACUCCUUUCAAACACUCCUUUAUGCUUUGCAGAAUAAUUCUACAUUAUUUCCGAUCAACAAUAUGUCAUUCACAUAUACUUAUCAGAAAUAUUGUAAUGCUCCCACUCACUUUCUUGUAAAUACAGGCUUCACCGCAAGUCUGUAUAAAACUAUAUGCUUUGAUCAACUUAUCAAAGCGUAUAUUCCAACUUCGAGAUGCUUGCACCAGUCCAAGUUACGCAAAUACUAUCAGGACUAAGUUCAUGAUAAAUUAAAGUUCAAUUAAUCAUAUUACUUAAGAACUCCCACUUAGAUAGACAUCCCUCUAAUCAUCUAAGUGAUCACGUGAUCCAUAUCAACUAAACCAUGUCCGAUCAUCACGUGAGAUGGAGUAGUUUCAAUGGUGAACAUCACUAUGUUGAUCAUAUCUACUAUAUGAUUCACGCUCGACCUUUCGGUCUCAGUGUUCCGAGGCCAUAUCUGUUAUAUGCUAGGCUCGUCAAGUUUAACCUGAGUAUUCCGCGUGUGCAACUGUUUUGCACCCGUUGUAUUUGAACGUAGAGCCUAUCACACUCGAUCAUCACGUGGUGUCUCAGCACGAAGAACAUUCGCAACGGUGCAUACUCAGGGAGAACACUUAUACCUUGAUAAUUUAGUGAGAGAUCAUCUUAUAAUGCUACCAUCAAUCAAAGCAAGAUAAGAUGCAUAAAAGAUAAACAUCACAUGCAAUCAAUAUAAGUGAUAUGAUAUGGCCAUCAUCAUCUUGUGCUUGUGAUCUCCAUCUCCGAAGCACCGUCAUGAUCACCAUCGUCACCGGCACGACACCUUGAUCUCCAUCGUAGCAUCGUUGUCGUCUCGCCAACUUAUGCUUCUACGACUAUCGCUACCGCUUAGUGAUAAAGUAAAGCAUUACAGGGCGUUUGCAUUGCAUACAAUAAAGCGACAACCAUAUGGCUCCUGCCAGUUGCCGAUAACUCGGUUACAAAACAUGAUCAUCUCAUAUAAUAAAAUAUAGCAUCAUGCCUUGACCAUAUCACAUCACAACAUGCCCUGCAAAAACAAGUUAGACGUCCUCUACUUUGUUGUUGCAAGUUUUACGUGGCUGCUACGGGCUGAGCAAGAACCGUUCUUACCUACGCAUCAAAACCACAACGAUAGUUUGUCAAGUUGUUGCUGUUUUAACCUUCGCAAGGACCGGGCGUAGCCACACUCGGUUCAACUAAAGUUGGAGAAACUGACACCCGCUAGUCACCUCUGUGCAUAGCACGGCGGUAAAACCAGUCUUGCGUAAGCGUACGCGUAAUGUCAGUCCGGGCUGCUUCAUCCAACAAUACCGCCGAACCAAAGUAUGACAUGCUAGUAAGCAGUAUGACUUGUAUCACCCACAACUCACUUGUGUUCUACUCGUGCAUAUAACAUCUACGCAUAAAACCAGGCUCGGAUGCCACUGUUGGGGAACGUAGUAAUUUCAAAAUUUUCCUAUGCGCACGCAAGAUCAUGGUGAUGCAUAGCAACGAGAGGGGAGAGUGUUGUCCACGUACCCUCAUAGACCGAAAGAGGAAGUGUUAGCACAACGCGGUUGAUGUAGUUGUACGUCUUCACGAUCCGACCGAUCAAGUACCGAACGCACGGCACGAAGAACUUUCGCAACGAUGCAUACUCAGGGAGAACACUUAUACCUUGAAAUUUAGUGAGAGAUCAUCUUAUAAUGCUACCGUCGAUCUAAGCAAAAUAAGAUGCAUAAAAGAUAAACAUCACAUGCAAUCAAUAUAAGUGAUAUAAUAUGGCCAUCAUCAUCUUGUGCUUCUGAUCUCCAUCUCCGAAGCACCGUCAUGAUCACCAUCGUCACCGGCGCGACACCUUGAUCUCCAUCGUAGCAUCGUUGUCGUCUUGCCAACUACUGCUUCUACGACUAUCGCUACCGCUUAGUGAUAAAGUAAAGCAAUUAUAGGGCGAUUGCAUUGCAUACAAUAAAGCGACAACCAUAUGGCUCCUGCCAGUUGCCGAUAACUCAGUUACAAAACAUGAUCAUCUCAUACAAUAAAAUAUAGCAUCAUGCCUUGACCAUAUCACAUCACAACAUGCCCUGCAAAAACAAGUUAGACGUCCUCUACUUUGUUGUUGCAAGUUUUACGUAGAUGCUACGGGCUGAGCAAGAACCAUUCUUACCUACGCAUCAAAACCACAAUAAUAGUUCGUCAAGUUAGUGUUGUUUUAACCUUCUCAAGGACCGGGCGUUGCCACACUCGGUUCAACUAAAGUUGGAGAAACUGACACCCGCCAGCCAACUGUGUGCAAAGCACGUCGGUAGAACCAGUCUCGCGUAAGUGUACGCGUAAUGCCGGUCCGGGCCGCUUCAUCCAACAAUACCGCCGAACCAAAGUAUGACAUGCUGGCAAGCAGUAUGACUUGUAUCGCCCACAACUCACUUGUGUUCUACUCGUGCAUAUAACAUCUACGCAUAAAACCUGGCUCGGAUGCCACUGUUGGGGAACGUAGUAAUUUCAAAAAAAUUCCUACACACACACAGGAUCAUGGUGAUGCAUAGCAAUGAGAGGGGAGAGUGUGUCCACGUACCCUCGUAGACCGAAAGCGGAAGCGUUAGCACAACGCGGUUGAUGUAGUCGUACGUCUUCACGAUCCGACCGAUCCAAGUACCGAACGCACGGCACCUUCGAGUUCAGCACACGUUCAGCUCGAUGACGUCCCACGAACUCCGAUCCAGCAGAGCUUCGAGGGAGAGUUCCGUCAGCACGACGGCGUGAUGACGGUGAUGAUGAUGCUACCGACGCAGGGCUUCGCCUAAGCACCGCUACGAUAUAUGAUCGAGGUGGAUUAUGGUGGAGGGGGGCACCGCACACGGCUAAGAGAUCAAGAGAUCAAAUGUUGUGUCUUUGGGGUGCCCCCCUGCCCCCGUAUAUAAAGGAGCAAGGGGGGGAGGUGCGGCUGGCCAGGAGGGGCGCGCCAGGAGGAGUCCUACUCCCACCGGGAGUAGGACUCCCUCCCUUCCUUGUUGGAUUAGGAGAAGGGGGAAAGAGGAGGGAGAGAGGAAGGAAAGGGGGGGCGCCGCCCCCCUCUCCUUGUCCUAUUCGGACUAGGGGGGGAGGGGCGCACGGCCCUGCCCUGGCCGCCUCUCCUCUUCUCCACUAAGGCUCACAAUGGCCCAUCAAGCCCCCGGGGGGUUCCAGUAACCCCUCGGUACUCCGAUAAAAUCCCGAUUUCACCCGGAACACUUCCGAUAUCCAAAUAUAGGCUUCCAAUAUAUCAAUCUUCAUGUCUCGACCAUUUCGAGACUCCUCGUCAUGUCCGUGAUCACAUCCGGAACUCCGAACAACCUUCGGUACAUCAAAACUCAUAAACUCAUAAUAUAACUGUCAUCGAAACUUUAAGCGUGCGGACCCUACGGGUUUGAGAACUAUGUAGACAUGACCGAGACACAUCUCCGGUCAAUAACCAAUAGCGGAACCUGGAUGCUCAUAUUGGCUCCCACAUAUUCUACGAAGAUCUUUAUCGGUCAGACCGCAUAACAACAUACGUUGUUCCCUUUGUCAUCGAUAUGUUACUUGCCCGAGAUUCGAUCGUCGGUAUCUUAAUACCUAGUUCAAUCUCGUUACCGGCGAGUCUCUUUACUCGUUUCGUAAUACAUCAUCCCGCAACUAACUCAUUAGUUACAAUGCUUGCAAGGCUUAUAGUGAUGUGCAUUACUGAGUGGGCCCAGAGAUACCUCUCUGACAAUCGGAGUGACAAAUCAUAAUCUCGAAAUACGCCAACCCAACAAGUACCUUCGGAGACACCUGUAGAGCACCUUUAUAAUCACCCAGUUAUGUUGUGACGUUUGGUAGCACACAAAGUGUUCCUCCGAUAAACGGGAGUUGCAUAAUCUCAUAGUCAUAGGAACAUGUAUAAGUCAUAGGAACAUGUAUAAGUCAUGAAGAAAGCAAUAGCAACAUACUAAACGAUCAAGUGCUAAGCUAACGGAAUGGGUCAAGUCAAUCACAUCAUUCUCCUAAUGAUGUGAUCCCGUCAAUCAAAUGACAACUCAUGUCCAUGGCUAGGAAACUCAACCAUCUUCGAUUAACGAGCUAGUCAAGUAGAGACAUACUAGUGACACUAUGUUUGUCUAUGUAUUCACACAUGUACUAAGUUUUCGAUUAAUACAAUUCUAGCAUGAAUAAUAAACAUUUAUCAUGAUAUAAGGAAAUAAAUAAGAACUUUAUUAUUGCCUCUAGGGCAUAUUUCCUUCAAAUAUCUCCGGGCGAGGGGGCUAUCGGAAAAUAUUUCGAUGCCUCUCCGCCAAUGGGCUUCCUUGGCCUGGCCCUUGCCGUGCUCUCAUCGGUUGAGCUUGUUUUUUUUAUAAAAACCCAACCUGAAGCGAAAAAUUCGGGACCCUCUCCCAGGAUCCCGUAAGAAUAGUCGCCGAGCAUAUAUGCAAACAGCACCCCGAAUGAGCUCGCCAUGUGCCAAUCACGACGCUGGCAUCGGCAUGGGCAGGAGGACGGGACUCGAAGACGCCGGCGGGAGGACCGAGGCCCGGCAGAGCAGGCAGGUGCGGCGGCCAUGGGCGGACCAGCGGUCGAGGCACCCGCGGUGGAAGACGUGUUGGCACCCGCGCAGACUUCCGGCAGCAGCGGCGUGCCGUCAUCGCCAUCGGAAGCAGCGGAGAGCGUGUCGAAGCGCACGGCCGGAGAGCGCUCCUCCAGGCCGUGGUCGUGGCGCUGGUACUGCUCUUGGUGGUGCUGGUGGUGGUCGGCGAAGUGGGCGAAGUCGAAGGCGUCCGAGUAGUUGAAGCUGUGGACGUCAUCAACGCUGGCACCGACGAGGCGGAGCAACCAAGAGGAGAGGCGGCGCAGGUGGCCGAGCAGGAAGAGGAGGUUCAGCAGCAGGCUGGGCAUCUCCGAGGACACCGUCGGGAACCCCAUUAGUUGACCGACGGACCGACCGCCGGAGAGCCGAAUCAGGAGGAGGACGAGCAGAGCUCGAGAGCUAGAGAGAUAGGAGUUGGAGGAGGGGGGAGGGGUCUCACAUGGCACACAAUGGCAUGGCCUUUAUAGCUAGAGGCAACAGCUAUGGAGGAGGUGGAGGUGAUAGGAGAGUGACACAAGGAGGAGAAGGAGAGAUCGAGAAAUGAAGCAGCUAGCUUUCAAUGACUGGAAAAAGUAGUUAUACAUAUUUUGUUGCACCCAACAAUUUACAUAUUGACAAUGGCUGGAUAGUUUAUUUAUGCAUUCUUAGGUUUAUGUCGUUAAGCAAAUUAACAAGUAGCAAUAGUAACCAAUGUGCAACAAGGUGGCCUAAUACGUUUUAUAGCAAAGGACAAGCCGGAAAGUUCUCUUAUAUAAAGCAAAGUGCUCUUGAGGACAUAUGGGAAUUCUCGUCAAGUUACGUUCAUCAUAUUUAGUUGAUUCGCGUUCACUACUUUGAUAAUUUGAUAUGUCCAUGGACCGGUGCUAGAGGUGUCAUUCACAUAAACAUAAAGUACAUCAACAUUAGGAAUUAAAAAUUAUUGUAUUUUUUGUACUAUGUUUAAAUAAAUUUAAUAUGAUAAUGCGAAUUUCCUAUACAAUUUUUUCAUGUUGUAAGUUUACUUCAUAAAGCAUAUAGAAGUAUUUGAUAUUAUACAUGAAGAGAAUAAUAUUUUUUGAGGAAACAUCUUGAGAAUAAUUUGAAAUAUACAGAUACAUCAUAACUUUGUUAAAAAAAUGUUAGCAAAUUAGAUGUCGCCCGCGCAUUUGCAUGGGCCGCCCUGCUAGUUAAACGAAAAACAAAUUGAAAAGGAAGAGAACACGGGAUCGAUCCCUAGUCUCAAGGGAGAUCCCCGGCGCAGCUAAAAGCCGGUCUUUCUCCGUUUUUCUUUCUUUUAUCGUUUCCUUUUGUUUCAUUUCUUUUUUCUUCUCUAAUUUUUUCAUUCUUUUCUUAUUUUCUUCUCCGGUUUGUUUUAUUCCUUUUUUGUUUCAUUUCGUUUUCUACUCUCCUUUUUUUACGAUUUGUUUCAUAAUAUUUUCAAUUUGUUUCUUUGUUUUUUAUUCAUUUUUUCUUUUGGUUUAUUUUCGGUUUUUAUUUUUUUGGGGGUUUUCUUUGUUUCUUUCAUUUUCAUUAGACAUUCUUUGUAUAUAUCAACAACAUUUUUCUAAUAGACGGUUAACAUUUUUCCAAUAAAAAUUAAUAUUUUAUAAUACAUGAUCAAGAUUUUUUCUAUACAUAUUUAAACAAAAUUCAAAUGGCUGAUUAACAUUUUUCAAAUACAAGAUUAAUAUUUUUUGAAUACAUGGUCAAUAUAUUUCCUAUACACACUUUUAAACUUGUUCAAAUGCUUGAUUAAUAUUUUCCAAAUACAUGAUUAACAUUUUCUAAUAUGUGGUCAACAUCUUUCCUAUGUGCAUUUAACACUUUUUCAAAUGCGUGAUUAACAUUUUCUAACUGCAAUAUUAACAAUUUUAAAAGAUUCUCAACAUUUUUCAAAUGCUCGGUUAAUAUAUUUUCAAUACUUGUUCAAACAUUUUUCCAAAUGCUUGAAUAACAUUUUUUUAUAUACAUGAUCAAAAAAAUUCCACAUUUUCUUAAUACAUGUUCAGCAUUUCUUCUAUACACAUUUAACAUUGUUCAAUUUCAUAAUCAACACCUUUCAAAUACAUGUUCAACAUUAGUUUUCAAAUGCCUGAUUAACAUUUUAAUAGACAUGAUCCAAAAAAUUCAUUAUUUUUCAAUACAUCGUCAACAUUUUUCAAAUGCUUCAUCAACAUUUUUCAAAUACUUUUUCAAAAAAAAAUUCCAAUGCUUGAGUAACAUAUUUAUAUACAUGAUAAAAAUAAUUAAUCAUUUUUAAUACAUGGUUAACAUUUUUUCUAUACACGUUUAACAUUUUUAAAAUAUUUGAUCCUCAUUUUUUCAAAUGAUUGCUUAAAAUUUUUAUAUACAUGCUAAAAAAUCAUAAUUUUUUUAGUACAUGGUCAACAUUUUUUUCUACACACAUUGAAUAAAUUUGUAAUGCUUGAUCAAUAUUUUUCAAAAAAUAUCCAAAUGCUUGAUUAACAAUUUUUGAAUACAUGAUCAAAAAAAUUAUACACAUUUUUUAUAUAUUUUUCGUAUACAUGAUAAGCAUUUUCUCUAUACACACUCAACAUUUUUCGAAUGCCUGGUCAAAAUUUUGUCAAAUAUUUUUAUAGAGUAUUUUUGUAGUAUAUAUAUUUAGAAUAUGUUAAUGUAUUAAAAAUAAAAAAUACAAGCAAAAAUGAAACAGAAAACGUAAAAAACAGAGAAAAGUAGGCUCUGGCCUCGCGGGCACGUGGGCCGGCCCAUCUCGGUCUCCCCUUCAGUGAGGGGUCCUACCCUCUCGCUGAAGGCGAGACAUAGUCGCACCCAGCCAGGUGGGCUUUUCUUUCAGAAUUGGGCCAAGCGCGCUAAGUUGACGGAAACUGGUCUACCACUCCCCUAAGCAUACACUAUGGUGGAGGAUUGCUCCUGGGCUUGGCGGGCCAUUGCCUGCUUUUGCCUUGCAAACAGGUACGACUAUAUAGGAUGGCGACAUAUGAACAACAAUUUCUACUUGGCUUCAUAAUUCCUCAAAAAAAACUUGGCUUCAUAAUGCUUAUUUAUUUUCUAAUUUCUAAUAUGAACAACAAUUUGUAUUCCCAAACCCGUCACUAGAAAGCCAUGAACCAUCAACAGGCUGGAGAAAUGCCAGUUCGACAUCACCCCCCACGACAAUGAGAAAGAUCAGCUUCUAUGGCUCGAAGAGAUAGAGAGCCAAGUUAAGGACUCUGCCGAGAUAAGCGUGCUCCCUUUGAUAACAAAGCCAAAAACAAGAUGUGAGAACCAGGAACAAUUCGCUCCUUAUGCAAUAAGAUCUGGAUCAACUCACCACCAAAGCCAGCCACCAACACCCUUAACGUGUCAGGCUCUAAGCCUACGUUAGUAUGGCCCUCAAAACUAAGCCUGGCCUUAUACACCAGCUCACCCCGAGAUCCAUGAGGGCCACGAUGCCACCGACUAAAUUCCAUGCGACUACCAAGGCAUCACAUGCUACCAAAAACAUUCAAAACUGGAGUGGUGUCGUACUCUUCGGAAUUAAAAAUCAAGAAAUAAUGAUGAGCAGCGAAAACUAAAUUUAUAUGAAUACCUCCUGGCUCAUUACCCCAUUUGGCCUCAACAGCAACAACUAGAUAUUCUCCAGAACCACAUUGACCACAACCCAAAAGCGUCACAUAGAGACCGCAACCAGACUAACACUUUUCCAAAGCAAGCAUUCAAGAAGUUCGCGGAAUAAAAUGCUCACAAACUCUGGAUCUUCCUUGGGAAUGAUCCCCUGCGCCAAGCCUUGCGGGUCCAAAAAGGUAGCCCCCAUUGUUGAAGCUCUCACUGCCAUUCAUCCUUCUUCUUCAAAGAUAGCCUAUUUUUGAACACAAACAAACUCUCCUCAUAUACCAUCAUCUGAAUAAAGAAGGGCAAACAAACAAACACUUCAACCCUAUGUGUCAGACUGCAUGUGUAUGCUUAUCCAAAUUGAACGCAUCAUUUGACAGCUCUCAUACACAUGAUCUCAUCUAAAACUAACACGGUAGAAAAUAAAACAAUACAUCCUGACAACAAAGAUAUGACAGCAUAUGCUCAACACUAAAUAUUAUUGUCUAAUUAUAUAAACAUUGUUUUAACAGUACUCGGAGCAAUUACAAGCAUCAACACGGGCGUGGUAUGCACUGCACCAUCCACCCCGCUAGUUCUUCCUAGAUAACCUCCAAUAGAACUCACAAUCACCUAUUUAUACUAAAUAUUUUUACUUUUUUACAUGUCAUUAUCAGAAAAUUUAACUAGUAUUACAUUACAUUUGACAAUUUCUACCACAUACGGCUACUGGUAAUAUUUCAAAACUUCAACAUUACUAGCAUACAACAGAUAUUUUAUCAUUAUAAAUGCAACAUUUGUAGUAUGUUAUGCUUUCAAAUUUUAGUUCAGGGUAUUUUGUUAAAAUAAAUCAAAUAAUCCAAAUAUAAACAAAGCAAAAAAAACACGCAUCUAUCUAUGCAGCAAUUUGUUCCAUUUAGAGACAACAAAACCGAGCCAUGCAUCGGAUUUAGUUUGGAUGGCCUACACAUGCGACGUGUAUGCCAUUAAUUUAUUUCAUUUCGGUUUUAUAUAUUUUUGUGCCUAUUUUAUCUAUAAAUAUCUUGAUAGAGGGUUCUACAUUGCACGAGUCUAGGAAAUUUAAGUAUUAAUUAGCCUCUUAAUUAGUUUGGUUAUCUUUAUAUUAUUGAUCCGAGAUGGUAAGUGAUCUCUCGGCGAUAUUAGGUUGCAUUCAACUUUAUAUGACAUUGGAAUAAUGUAAUAUCUAAGACCUCAACACAUUUCCAUCAAUAUAAGUUUUCUUUGGUUUUGGGGUUUUCAUUGUUUCUUUUUGGUUCUCAUUGUUUCUUUUUUCGGUUUCACUUUUCUCCACUCUUUUUGCAUUGGUUUCCUUCUGUUUUAUUUUCCUGUUUUUUCUUUGUUUUCUUUCUUCAUUUUCCUUUUUUCUUUCUUUCUUUCCGUUGGGUUUCUUCGUUUUUAUUUGUUUUUUGUUGGUUUUAAUUGGUUAAUUUUUUAUUCAACACAUGGUUACUUUUCUCGGCAUACAACAUAUACUUUUAGUGUACAUGCGAAUUAAAAUGACACAUGUUGAACAUUUUUUCGAAUACAUGAUGUAAAUUUUCGUUCAAUACAAGUUUUGAACACUUUUUUGAAUACAUGGUCAACAUUUUUCAAAUACAUGGUGAACAUUUUUCCAAUGGAAAUAAAAAGUCACACAUAAUAUUUUCAACAUCGGGAACAUUUUAUCAAUACAUAAAUAAGUUUUUAAAAUACAUAUGUUUUUCAGUUAUACAUAUUUUCGUAUACAUCAGGAGCAUUUUUGUAUAUAGGUUUAACUUUUUGUAAAUACUUGACCAAUAUUUUUUAUACACAUUGUAUAUUUUUUAGUAUGCAAGAAUCGUAUACAUGAUAAGCAUUUUUUGAUACACAUUUAACAUCUUUUCUAAAGGAUAACUUUUGUAACAUGAAAUUUGUAUUACAUUAAUUGAAUUAUGGGUACGAAGAUACGAGGAGGACUUCUAAGCCAGAAAAGAGAGCAAGACAUAUCAAAUUUUCAUUCGUGCUAGGAAUGGGGGUAUGCGGCACUUUUGAAAUGGUAGCCGUCUAAUUCGAUCCUUCUCUUGUCCUCAUUUUGGCCUACCAUUCUCGCACGUCCUCUAUCGCUGAUUUGUUUUCCGUCAUUUUUGAAAUGCCCGGGUUUGGUGAUGACUCCUCUUUGCUGAGUUUCUCGAUCGUCCUCUCUUUUGCAUCGGGGAGAGGCUCCAGUGGGGGCCGGCUUGUUAUCGCGUUUAUGUGGCAUUCGUUGUCGGGUACAUGGUGUGCCCUGACAGGUGGGUUGGACGUUUGUGAUUGGCUCACACAAGACAACCUUGUACAACUGUGUGGAAAGUGGCGAUGGGUGGUGGAAAGCCUUCUCUCUUAUCCCCGCAUUGGUGGCCAGUUCUUCUCCUCCCAUUUUCAUUCCAGUUUUUGCUGCUUCUGACUUUUCUUGAAUCCCGUCAUUGUGUUGCUUCCUUAAAUAAUCAUUGUUGGGCUGGUUGCGUUUGGAAUAUGUGGCGGCGAUUUAGAAUGGCGCUCGCAGUGUUGUGACGCUGAUUAAAGUCGUUUCCGUCGGUGCAUCAAAUUUCUUUUCCUUGCCUUUGUUCGUAACCAAUUGAUUUAGGAUCUCGUUUGCCCGUAUGUUCCUUAUUAUUCCUAGACAACCCCCAAUAGAACUCAGAAUCACGUAUUUAUAGUAAAUAUUUUUAGUUGUUUACAUGUCAUUGUCAUUUAACUAGUAUUACAUUAUAUUUGACAAUUUCUACCACAUACUGGCAUUGGUAAUAUUUAAAAACUUCAACAUUACUAGCAUACAACAGAUAUUUUAUCAUUAUAAAUGCAACAUUGGUGGUAUGUUAUGCUUUCAAAUUUUAGUUUAGGGUAUUUUUGUUCAACUAAAUCCAAUAAUCCAAAUCUAAACAAAGCAAACAAAACAUGCAUCUAUCUAUGGAGCAAUUUGUUCCAUUUAUGUAGAGAAAACAAAACUAAGCCAUGCGUCGGAUUUAGUUUGGAUGACCUACACAUGCGACAUGGAUGCCAUUUAUAUAUAUUAUGUCGGAUUUAUCUGUUUUCUUGCCUAUUUUAUCUAUAAAUAUCUUGAUAGAGGAUUCCACUUUGCAUGAGGAAAUUUAUCUUAAUUAGUUAGGUUAUCUUCCUUUAUACUAUUGAUCUGAGAUGGCAGGUGAUGUCUCAUUGAUAUUUGGUUGCAUUCAACUUUAUGUGACAUCUAAAUAAUGUAAUAUUGAAGUCCUCAACACAUUUGCUAUGUAACAAAGUUCUUAUCCUCACGUAACGGACGAUGUAACGGCUACAUAAUGGAACAAUAUCGCAAACGGAUUAAUCCUUCUGUGAAGCAGAUAUCUGCCAGGGUAUUCUGUUACCUACAAGAACACAAAUUUACAUAGCUACGCAAUGCAACAACCGAACAAUAAGUUCAAAUUUCAGAGUUUCUAUGUAUGCUACUACACGGGAUAAAUUAGGGUAGUCGGUUGAAUCCGAUGUAUUUCCAGCAGAGCAUGUAAUAUAUAUAAAAAACAUGUAGCAAAACAGGAGGCAUCUCCAACCCCCUUGAGAAGGAGUAGUAUACAGAUGAAAAAUGCUGGGUCUAGUGAAACCUUAUAACAAGAAUGAAAAGGGAAAAAAAAGUGAGCAGAGCAAAAGCUGUGCAUAUAUUCGGAUUCACCCUCUAUUUACUUCCACUAAUCUAAGUCUGAUGUACAUAUGUUCUCCUCUUCUUCUUUCUUGGUAUAUGGAUUUUGCAGCGGACACCUAAUCCAUUCGAGUCCAAACUCCAAAGCCAAACCAAAGCUCAAAGCAGGAACUAAUCCCCUUCCUUGGGGGUCGUUCUGUAAUAGCCACUCCAUGCGAGGGGGUCAUCGGAAAAUAUUUCGACGCCUCUCCGCCAAUGGCCGUUGCUGCGCUCUGACCUCACCGGUUGGAGCUUGCUUUUGCAUAAAAACCCAACCGGAAGCGAUAAAUUCGGAACCCUCUCCUCAGGAUCCCUCAAGAAUAGUCGCCGAACAUAUAUGCAAACAGCACCCCGAACGAGCUUGCUCUCAACCAAUCAC
rnacentral:lncRNA from 1 species